GGCUCUACCAGCUGCUGCUGCACCAGAGGGGGCUGACCAUCCAUGAGGCCGAAGACCUGUGGUGCUGGGACUGGCACCAGGACAGCAGGCUCCUGGGCUAUAGGAGCACAACCAGGGUGGGGGAGAUCUUGGGAAAGUUCUUCUUGGAGGGGCAGAGAAGAUUCUUCCUCUGGACAGCAGUGCUGGCCAUCCACAUCCCCCUGCUGCAUGUCAGCCAGGCUGGGCUGCUCCUCCCCUGCUCCCUUCUGGGGGAAGCCCAGCAGUUGAUGGGGGACAAGGUAAGCAGCUGCAUUAGACUCAGGGGAUUCAGGCCUCAUUCCCAUCCUAUUGCCAUUUGCUGGCCUGGCAGCA